rnacentral:tRNA from 1 species
GCCUGGGUGGCUCAGUUGGUUAAGCAUCCGACUCUUGAUCGCAGCUCAGGUCAUGAUCUUGUGGUUUCGUGGGUUCGAGCCCCACAUCAGGCU